CCAUCAGAGUGUCCAUAUGACA
rnacentral:siRNA from 1 species